UACGUAGGGGCAAGCGUUGUCCGGAUUUAUUGGGCGUAAAGAGCGUGUAGGCGGCUGGGUAGGUCCGUUUGUGAAAACUCGAGGCUCAACCUCGAGACGCCGAUGGAAACCCUCCAGCUAGAGUCCGGAAGAGGAGAGUGGAAUUCCUGGUGUAGCGGUGAAAUGCGCAGAUAUCAGGAAGAACACCCGUGGCUAAGGCGGCUCUCUAGUACGGUACUGACGCUGAGACGCGAAAGCGUGGGGAGCGAACAGG
rnacentral:rRNA from 1 species